CACGAACGCUGGCGGCAGGCUUAACACAUGCAAGUCGAGCGCCCCGCAAGGGGAGCGGCAGACGGGUGAGUAACGCGUGGGAAUCUACCCAUCUCUACGGAAUAACGCAUGGAAACGUGUGCUAAUACCGUAUACGUCCUUCGGGAGAAAGAUUUAUCGGAGAUGGAUGAGCCUGCGUUGGAUUAGCUAGUUGGUGGGGUAAAGGCCUACCAAGGCGACGAUCCAUAGCUGGUCUGAGAGGAUGAUCAGCCACACUGGGACUGGGACACGGCCCAGACUCCUACGGGAGGCAGCAGUGGGGAAUAUUGGACAAUGGGCGCAAGCCUGAUCCAGCCAUGCCGCGUGAGUGAUGAAGGCCCUAGGGUUGUAAAGCUCUUUCACCGGUGAAGAUAAUGACGGUAACCGGAGAAGAAGCCCCGGCUAACUUCGUGCCAGCCGCCGCAGUAACAC
rnacentral:rRNA from 1 species